rnacentral:rRNA from 1 species
UACAGAGGGUGCGAGCGUUAAUCGGAAUUACUGGGCGUAAAGCGUGCGUAGACGGUAGCGUAAGUCAGAUGUGAAAGCCCCGGGCUCAACCUGGGAAUUGCAUUUGAGACUGCUCUGCUCGGGUGCGGAAGAGGGAAGCGGAAUUUCCGGUGUAGCGGUGAAAUGCGUAGAUAUCGGAAGGAACACCAGUGACGAAAGCGGCUUCCUGGUCCGACACCGACGUUCAGGCACGAAAGCGUGGGGAGCAAACAGG